CAUUAAAAGAGAAAUACACAGCCUGGAGAAGUAAAAAAAAUACAGAGUUUGAGUGAGUCUCUUCUAUUCGAAUUUGUUUUAUUUCCGGAGCUCAUCGAAAUCAGCUCACAGUGGUGGUAGUUUUUCGUGGUUAAGCUCGUCGCUGCCCCCGAAAAGUCACUUGAUCAUUGAUGGGAAUCAAACGAAGGUAACAUUGAGCCACAAUUUGUGAGAAGGGAUUUGCAAUACAUGAUUGAAACUUUGCUGUAUCAAAGUCAUGUUACAAGAGCAAUGUAGCUGUGGAGUCAUGAACAAGCCAUUAGUGCAAAAACAGUUGCAUAAAUUAUCUCUCUGAGGGAUGUCACCUGGAUGCAACUCUCAGUACUCUUAGGAUCAG